GGAGACGACAACACGUACGUAGUCUGGUUGUUGAGGAGACGACAACACGUACGUAGUCUGGUUGUUGAGGAGACGACAACACGUACGUAGUCUGGUUGUUAAGGUGAGAGGAGACGACAACACGUACGUAGUCUGGUUGUUAAGGUGAGAGGAGACGACAACACGUACGUAGUCUGGUUGGUGAGAGGAGACGACAACAUGUACGUAGUCUGGUUGUUGAGGUGAGAGGAGACGACAACAUGUACGUAGUCUGGUUGUUGAGGUGAGAGGAGACGACAACACGUACGUAGUCUGGUUGUUGAGAGGAGACGACAACACGUACGUAGUCUGGUUGUUAAGGUGAGAGGAGACGACAACACGUACGUAGUCUGGUUGUUAAGGUGAGAGGAGACGACAACACGUACGUAGUCUGGUUGUUAAGGUGAGAGGAGACGACAACACGUACGUAGUCUGGUUGUUAAGGUGAGAGGAGACGACAACACGUACGUAGUUUGGUUGUUGAGAGGAGACGACAACACGUACGUAGUCUGGUUGUUGAGGAGACGACAACACGUACGUAGUCUGGUUGUUGAGGAGACGACAACACGUACGUAGUCUGGUUGUUAAGGUGAGAGGAGACGACAACACGUACGUAGUCUGGUUGUUAAGGUGAGAGGAGACGACAACACGUACGUAGUCUGGUUGUUGAGGUGAGAGGAGACGACAACACGUACGUAGUCUGGUUGUUAAGGUGAGAGGAGACGACAACACGUACGUAGUCUGGUUGUUGAGGUGAGAGGAGACGACAACACGUACGUAGUCUGGUUGUUAAGGUGAGAGGAGACGACAACACGUACGUAGUCUGGUUGUUAAGGUGAGAGGAGACGACAACACGUACGUAGUCUGGUUGUUAAGGUGAGAGGAGACGACAACACGUACGUAGUCUGGUUGUUGAGGUGAGAGGAGACGACAACACGUACGUAGUCUGGUUGUUAAGGUGAGAGGAGACGACAACACGUACGUAGUCUGGUUGUUAAGGUGAGAGGAGACGACAACACGUACGUAGUCUGGUUGUUAAGGUGAGAGGAGACGACAACACGUACGUAGUCUGGUUGUUGAGAGGAGACGACAACACGUACGUAGUUUGGUUGUUGAGAGGAGACGACAACACGUACGUAGUCUGGUUGUUAAGGUGAGAGGAGACGACAACACGUACGUAGUCUGGUUGUUGAGGUGAGAGGAGACGACAACACGUACGUAGUCUGGUUGUUGAGGUGAGAGGAGACGACAACACGUACGUAGUCUGGUUGUUAAGGUGAGAGGAGACGACAACACGUACGUAGUCUGGUUGUUAAGGUGAGAGGAGACGACAACACGUACGUAGUCUGGUUGUUAAGGUGAGAGGAGACGACAACACGUACGUAGUCUGGUUGUUAAGGUGAGAGGAGACGACAACACGUACGUAGUCUGGUUGUUAAGGUGAGAGGAGACGACAACACGUACGUAGUCUGGUUGUUAAGGUGAGAGGAGACGACAACACGUACGUAGUCUGGUUGUUAAGGUGAGAGGAGACGACAACACGUACGUAGUCUGGUUGUUAAGGUGAGAGGAGACGACAAAACGUACGUAGUCUGGUUGUUAAGGUGAGAGGAGACGACAACACGUACGUAGUCUGGUUGUUAAGGUGAGAGGAGACGACAACACGUACGUAGUCUGGUUGUUAAGGUGAGAGGAGACGACAACACGUACGUAGUCUGGUUGUUAAGGUGAGAGGAGACGACAACACGUACGUAGUCUGGUUGUUAAGGUGAGAGGAGACGACAACACGUACGUAGUCUGGUUGUUAAGGUGAGAGGAGACGACAACACGUACGUAGUUUGUCUGGUUGUUAAGGUGAGAGGAGAUGAGACAACAUGCAGGACUGGUACACAGGUACCACAUGACAGCUGUUAGAAUGAAAAGUGAGCAGCAUAGUUCUCUAUUGGUCAGAACUCCAACUUAAAAAGAUCUGUG